UACGUAGGCGGCGCUGUUAGUCGGGUGUGAAAUCCCUCGGCUCAACCGAGGAAUUGCGUCCGAUACUGCAGUGCUUGAGGGAGACAGAGGUAAGCGGAACUGAUGGUGGAGCGGUGAAAUGCGUUGAUAUCAUCAGGAACACCGGUGGCGAAAGCGGCUUACUGGGUCUCUUCUGACGCUGAGGUACGAAAGCUAGGGGAGGCGAAGG
rnacentral:rRNA from 1 species